UACGGAGGAUGCAAGCGUUAUCCGGAAUGAUUGGGCGUAAAGCGUCCGCAGGUGGCAAUGUAAGUCUGCUGUUAAAGCGUCUAGCUCAACUAGAUAAAAGCAGUGGAAACUACAUAGCUAGAGUACGUUCGGGGCAGAGGGAAUUCCUGGUGUAGCGGUGAAAUGCGUAGAGAUCAGGAAGAACACCAGUGGCGAAGGCGCUCUGCUAGGCCGUAACUGACACUGAGGGACGAAAGCUAGGGGAGCGAAUGGG
rnacentral:rRNA from 1 species